GAUGAAGAACGCAGUGAAAUGCGAUAAGUAAUGUGAAUUGCAGAAUUCAGUGAAUCAUCGAAUCUUUGAACGCACCUUGCGCCCUUUGGCCAUUCCGAAGGGCAUGCCUGUUUGAGUAUCAUGAACACCUCAACUCUUUAUGGUUUUCCAUGAUGAGCUUGGACUCUGGGGGUUUUGCUGGCUCACAGUCGGCUCCUCUAAAAUGAAUCAGCUUACCAGUGUUUGGUGGGUAUCAUGGGUGUGAUAACUAUCUACGCUUGUGGUUUUUCCACCAGGUAACCUUCAGCAGUGGAGGUUCGCUGGAGCUCAUAGAUGUCUCUCCUCAGUGAGGACAGCCCUUUGAAUGUUUGAUCUCAAAUCAGGUAGGACUACCCGCUGAACUUAAUCAUAUCAAUAAGCGGAGGA
rnacentral:misc_RNA from 1 species